rnacentral:rRNA from 1 species
AGUGAACGCUGGCAGCGUGCUUAACACAUGCAAGUCGUACGGGGUUAGUGAACGGGUACACAUCGAACUGUUUACUGACUUAGUGGCAAACGGGUGAGUAACACGUGGGUAACUUACCCUUAAGAGGAAGAUAACUUUGAGAAAUUGGAGCUAAUAUUCCAUAGUGCCAGACUGAGAUAUCUUAGUCUGGUUAAAGUCCUGAGCAAUCGGGACGCUUAAGGAUAGACCCGCGGUCUAUCAGCUUGUUGGUGAGGUAAUGGCUCACCAAGGCUAUGACGGGUAGCUGGCUUGAAAGGGUGAUCAGCCACAUUGGCACUGAGACACGGGCCAAACUCCUACGGGAGGCAGCAGUGGGGAAUAUUGGACAAUGGGCGCAAGCCUGAUCCAGCGACGCUGCGUGAGGGAUGAAGGUUUUCGGAUUGUAAACCUCUUUCAGGGAAGAUGAAUCCCGAUGUAAUGUCGGGGUGACAGUAUUUCCAGAAGAAGUCACGGCUAACUACGUGCCAGCAGCCGCGGUAAUACGUAGGUGACAAGCGUUACUCGGAAUUACUAGGUGUAGAGCACAGGUAGGUGGUUUGAUAAGUUAAAGGUGAAAGCUUCCGAUAAAUCGGGAGAGGUCUUUUAAUACUGUCAAGCUUGAGUGUAGAAUGGGGAACCAGAAUUCCCGGUGUAGCGGUGAAAUGCGUAGAUAUCGGGAGGAAUACCGAUGGCGAAAGCGGGUUCCUGGUCUAAUACUGACACUGAGCUGUGAAAGCUAAGGGAGCAAACAGGAUUAGAUACCCUGGUAGUCUUAGCCAUAAACUAUGGAAACUAGGUAUGGGUGGUAUCAACCCCUUCUGUACCGAAGCUAACGCAUUAAGUUUCCCACCUGGGGAGUACGGCCGCAAGGUUGAAACUCAAAGGAAUUGACGGGGGCUCGCACAAGCGGUGGAGCAUGUGGUUCAAUUCGACGAUACGCGAAGAACCUUACCCGGGCUUGAAGAACUGGUGGUAUUCUGUCGAAAGAUUAGAAGACCCGCAAGGGAGCCAGUAGAGGUGCUGCAUGGUUGUCGUCAGCUCGUGUCGUGAGAUGUAUGGUUAAGUCCCAUAACGAGCGCAACCCUUGUUCUAUGUUGCUAACCUCGAUGCAAAUCGGGAAGCACUCUUAGGAGACUGCCUCGGUUAACGAGGAGGAAGAUGGGGACGACGUCAAAUCAUCAUGGCCUUUAUGUCCGGGGCUACACACGUGCUACAAUGGCUACUACAGAAGGAUGCCAACUCGCAAGAGGGAGCAAACCCUAAAAAAGUAGCCUCAGUUCAGAUCGUGGGCUGCAAUUCGCCCACGUGAAGUUGGAAUCGCUAGUAAUCGCUGAUCAGCAGGCAGCGGUGAAUACGUUCCCGGGCCUUGUACACACCGCCCGUCACACCAUGGAAGCUGGUGACAACAGGAAUUUUCGCAUUAGCGAAACCUAAGUUGUGAUUAGUAACUGGGGUG